rnacentral:tRNA from 1 species
GGACGCUUAGCUCAGUUGGUAGAGCAACUCGUUUACACCGAGAAGGUCGGGGGUUCAAGUCCCUCAGCGUCCA